CAGCAAUCUCUAGAUCCUUCCCUUGGUUUUCUUGGGCAGCCAACUUGGGCUAGGCUGCAGCUUUCGGGCUGGGAAUAUGUUGGGCAUAUUUCUGCCCAUGGACAGCAUUGCCUUGCCCAAGAUGAGUCGGGCUGUGACACCCUCCCCCACUCAAUCUCGUGACGUCCUCGUCGCGCCUUGAGCUUUGUAAUUUUGGAUAUGCUCGGAGAAUUGCCAUAGCAAAUCUUCACGUUCCCACAUAACCUCGGUGUCGGGCAAAUUUUUCCACUUCACCAGGUAUUCGGUGUAGUUGGAAACUCCUCUUCUUCUUAACACUCUGUCCGCAAGGAUGCAUUCAAUCUCC
rnacentral:lncRNA from 1 species